GGAUUUUUCUGCUUUUCUACUUUUCGAAUCUUUACAAUUUUUUAUGUCAAUAGAUUCCGUAUUCUUCACUUUACCUUUCAGUUUGGUUUUGUCCCUCACAAAUCUCUGCUUCUGUCCGCCUUCAUUUAACUCUCUUCCUCUUAAAUCCUAGGUUUUUUUUUUUUUUUUUUUUUCACAAAAUAGUCACGAGCAAAUAUGGUUUUAGUUGAUUUAUAGAUUUUGUUUCCAAUCUCCAUUUGGUGCCUUGCUCAGAUCGGCUCUGCACUCAUCAUCGACGAUUUCGCCUUCAUGAAGGACUUUGCAAAUCCCAAGACCAAUAAAGAGGCUUCUCAAUCUGUUGUUUGGACUGAAGAAAAGGUGGAUGAAGCUCUCGAAAAUUUCAGAACCGAGAAAAGAGAAAGUUGUAAAAUGGAGACAAAAAAGGAAGGAUGGCAAACAUGAAGAGGGUUCUGGUGUGAGGAUCUAUUGUAGUGGCUUUAAAUAAUGAUAAAGAUGCUUUAAGAAGGUUUUAGUGCACUUCAAGGGAUCACAUAAAUUUCUGAUGCACAAGGCGUAGAUCACUUGCCAUCUGCACAUACUUGGUAACUUCGACUCACAUGUCAUCUUUUUCUUUUUCUUGAAUAU